GCUUUCCCAUUUCGAUUUAGAAUGGAUCUUUGAAAAUUCAAUUCGAGGGGGGGGCGUCAGACUUUUCUACGAAACUCGCUUAAAUAUGAAAGUGAAUGAAAGAGGAAGAGGGGGCAUACGCAAAAACGCCCAUCCAACGUUUUUUUAAUUCAAACUCUUGUGAUCGAUGUUCCCCGCUUGCGGGGACCACAAAUGCAUUCAGUUCCAUUUUCGUAUUAUUUGAAUUCGAUUCAAUUUGUGAAAAAAGAUCUGGUUGAGAAAAUAAUUUUUUUAAUUCGAAAAAAAAAAAAAAAAGAAAAAGACGUACACGUAUAUUUUAUCAAUAUAUACUUAAGAGGGUUGCUCAAACGGGAAUUGAAAAUUUUUAUUCUGCCCGGUCUGGGACGGAAGGAUUCGAACCUCCGAAUACCG
rnacentral:lncRNA from 1 species